UGACAAAAUGAACUAAUUGAAUUCAACGAAGCUUCAUCGAUCAUCACUCGAAAGCUUCUUCUCCGAUCAACAAUGUCGCCGAUCUUCAAUCUUUAAGAUUUUCCCUAUGCUCUGAUACCAUAAUGAGAGAAAGUGGGGAAAUUUCUUCUAUAUUGAAUGAAUGAAUCAGUGUAUGUACAUGUACAUUUAUAUAUAGAUGUAACCGACUAAUCUAAUAUCUAACAGUGACGAAUUAACUCUAACAGAUUAGCUAACUAACUAACUAUUAACAACUAACUAAUGGACAGCUGUACACAUGUGUUGAUCACGUGA
rnacentral:lncRNA from 1 species